rnacentral:hammerhead_ribozyme from 1 species
UCCCUGCUGACGAGUCCAUGAGACCAUGAAGGACGAAACGCCGCGUACAGGGA